rnacentral:rRNA from 1 species
CCUACGGGUGGCAGCAGUGAGGAAUAUUGGUCAAUGGCCGGAAGGCUGAACCAGCCAAGCCGCGUGAAGGACGAAGGUGCCAAGCAUUGUAAACUUCUUUUGUCAAGGGACAAAAUCAGGCUCGAGAGCAUGACCGAGGGUACUUGAAGAAAAAGCCCCGGCUAACUACGUGCCAGCAGCCGCGGUAAUACGUAGGGGGCAAGCGUUAUCCGGAUUUACUGGGUGUAAAGGGUGCGUAGACGGCUGUGCAAGCCAGAUGUGAAAGCCCGGGGCUCAACCCCGGGACUGCAUUUGAAACUGUGUGGCUGGAGUGUCGUAGAGGCAGGCGGAAUUCCUGGUGUAGCGGUGAAAUGCGUAGAUAUUAGGAGGAACACCAGUGGCGAAGGCGGCCUACUGGACGAUAACUGACGUUGAGGCUCGAAAGCGUGGGGAGCAAACAGGAUUAGAUACCCCUGUAGUC